CAUUUCUCGUGAAUUCAGCGCAAAGCAUGUUUUUCAUUACAAAUGAGAUUAUGUUUUCGUAAUAUUCUUCGCGGGUUGCUAACUUGACAGGAUCUUACAAGAUGUGGAACUACAUCUGAUGUUGAAAUAUUGCACAAGUCAACCCAAGCAUGUCACAUGAUGCGGAUAAUGUCAUGAUGAUUCAGGCAGCCGAUUUCGCCAGGAACAGACGGAGUGAUGACGUCAGACGCAGAAGCACACGAUUUCCGGUCGAAUGCAUGAGUCAGCAAAUUCAGACAGACGAGGUGUCUUCCCAUGACCUGUCCAGGUUGCAGCUCAGAUUGUGGACUAUUGCCAUCAUCUCUGUACUGUUCAUGAAAAUUACAUGUGAACUUGCUCUUUUACGGAUCACACAAACUCUAGAGACCUUUAUUAUGAUAUUAAUUUUGUUGCAAUUAGCUAAACUAAUGUGUGUGACUGUCUAUAUAGUUGUUAAUCUUUGGUGUUUAGUGCCACUGCAAAACUCUUAUCCACAAACCAAUAAGAUUUUGCACAACAGUAACAUUCUUUUAUUAUCUGCUUUAUUUUUUGCUAACUCUAUAUUUACUGAUUUUCUUAUCAUUGCACAUU